rnacentral:rRNA from 1 species
UGGGGAAUUUUGGACAAUGGGCGAAAGCCUGAUCCAGCCAUGCCGCGUGAGUGAAGAAGGCCUUCGGGUUGUAAAGCUCUUUUAGUCGGAAAGAAAGAGUUGCAAUGAAUAAUUGUGAUUUAUGACGGUACCGACAGAAAAAGCACCGGCUAACUACGUGCCAGCAGCCGCGGUAAUACGUAGGGUGCGAGCGUUAAUCGGAAUUACUGGGCGUAAAGGGUGCGCAGGCGGUCUUGCAAGUCAGAUGUGAAAGCCCCGGGCUUAACCUGGGAAUGGCAUUGGAAACUGGGCAGCUAGAGUGCGGUAGAGGGUAGUGGAAUUCCCGGUGUAGCAGUGAAAUGCGUAGAGAUCGGGAGGAACAUCUGUGGCGAAGGCGACUGCCUGGACCAGCACUGACACUGAGGCACGAAAGCGUGGGGAGCAAACA